GGAGUACAACACUGAAAUCACAAAGCUCAGGUCCCGACUUUGCCGCUACUUUUUUCCUCAAUAGAUCGAACUAGGAAGUGCAGUCAGUGCUGGUGUGUGAUUGCAGCCAAAGACCGGGUGCAGUGCCAGAAAUG